GGGUGCGGGCGCGGGGGCCUGCUCGGACAAACGAAGAUAAAUCCGUGCAUUAUCGAGCUCACGCAAAGUGGAAACAAUUAGGACGCUGCUCAUACUCCCCCUUCUUCCACCGACUUAGCCUUACAAACUCUUCACCACUCUGAAGGGGGAAAAUAAUUUAUUUUGCUAUUCAAUAAAGAGCAGGGUUCGUACCGACGAUCGUAUAGCUGUCGACUACGCCGCCUCGCGUAUGUCCUCACAACCGUUUUGUCCUGAUAAUAGUGUCGCUAAAGCCAACUAAAUGUUAGUUCCGCCAACCCAGCUUUGAUCUUGUUGCGGUCGGCGCACGGCGCCGGCAACGUAGGCAACCGUUCCGUCACGCGCUGCUUCUUCCCCCGGGCCGUGACGUCAUUCAGCAGGCAGGAGCCCCAGGAGCCAGGCCACGGACCUCAGAGACGCACAACUCGAGACCGAACCAGUUAGCCAGCUGUGUUUCGCUGUCGCGACGCGACAGGCGACAGCGCUCGCACUCUCGGUGUACAGAGUCAACCUCCAACCUUAUAACCUAACCUAGUGGCCACUCUAACCUCAACGACAACGCCUCGACGACGCACGCCGGUCCGGAGAGAACGUUUGAAGGGGCCAUCGUUAAAGGGGCAACAACAACAGACAGAUGAUCGGCUACCUGCACAACCUGCCACUAUGCGCACCACGAUCAUCAACGCCUACAAGCUGACCCACCCAAGCUUAUUUCGUCGGCGGCGCCGUUCCAGCCACAUCAGAUGUUACCGUAUACUGAUAUAGGAUACAUGUGGUGAGUGCGGCGUUACUCGCCUCUUCACAAUCCCUGGGCCCUGGGUAAUUGUAUGUUCUGUGCGCACAUUUAGGUUAUGUGUUUUCUAUACCGGUAUUUCUUGUGCUUGUGAAUGUUAACUGUAGGUGUAUUUGUGUUUAUGCACACUUAUAUGUACUGUAGGUUUAUCACUUAAAGGCAAGACAAAACAACACGUAUAUAGUUGUUCCUUCUUAUUCAUAUUCUGGUCAAAGGUCUAACUCUUUUACAUCAGCUAAUUUUGAUGUUUUAGUAACUAAUACUGGAAUGUUGCUUAGUGAUAAUUCAUUUGUAUUUGUGCGGAGUUUAUGAGCACAAAUAUUGUUGAUAUUUGAGACUGUGUCUAAUAUUAUGGGCUAACGUGUCCCACAUAUUGACAACUACAGCUUUACGGUAAAUUAUUGUCAAAUAGUGGUAAUAACAAAUUCUGUAAAUUAAUAAAUAUUGACGUUGGUAUGGGA